rnacentral:rRNA from 1 species
GACGAACGCUGGCGGCGUGCUUAACACAUGCAAGUCGAACGGAAAGGCCCUGCUUUUGUGGGGUGCUCGAGUGGCGAACGGGUGAGUAACACGUGAGUAACCUGCCCUUGACUUUGGGAUAACUUCAGGAAACUGGGGCUAAUACCGGAUAGGAGCUCCUGCUGAAUGGUGGGGGUUGGAAAGUUUCGGCGGUUGGGGAUGGACUCGCGUCUUAUUAGCUUGUUGGUGGGGUAGUGGCUUACCAAGGCUUUGACGGGUAGCCGGCCUGAGAGGGUGACCGGCCACAUUGGGACUGAGAUACGGCCCAGACUCCUACGGGAGGCAGCAGUGGGGAAUAUUGCACAAUGGGCGGAAGCCUGAUGCAGCAACGCCGCGUGCGGGAUGACGGCCUUCGGGUUGUAAACCGCUUUCGCCUGUGACGAAGCGUGAGUGACGGUAAUGGGUAAAGAAGCACCGGCUAACUACGUG